CGCAUGCGGAGCUACCAUGCAGUCGAACGGGCGUAGCAAUACGUCAGUGGCAGACGGGUGAGUAACGCGUGGGAACGUACCUUUUGGUUCGGAACAACUGAGGGAAACUUCAGCUAAUACCGGAUAAGCCCUUACGGGGAAAGAUUUAUCGCCGAAAGAUCGGCCCGCGUCUGAUUAGCUAGUUGGUGGGGUAAUGGCCCACCAAGGCGACGAUCAGUAGCUGGUCUGACAGGAUGAUCAGCCACAUUGGGACUGAAACACGGCCCAAACUCCUACGGGAGGCAGCAGUGGGGAAUAUUGGACAAUGGGCGAAAGCCUGAUCCAGCCAUGCCGCGUGAGUGAUGAAGGCCCUAGGGUUGUAAAGCUCAUUUUGUGCGGGAAGAUAAUGACGGUACCGCAAGAAUAAGCCCCGGGCUAACUUCGUCCCAGCAGCCGCGGUAAUACGAAGGGGGCUAGCGUUGCUCGGAAUCACUUGUGCGGUAAAGGGUGCGUAGGCGGGUUUCUAAGUCAGAGGUGAAAGCCUGGAGCUCAACUCCAGAACUGCCUUGGAUACUGGAAGUCUUGAGUAUGGCAGAGGUGAGUGGAACUGCGAGUGUAGAGGUGAAAUUCGUAGAUAUUCGCAAGAACACCAGUGGCGAAGGCGGCUCACUGGGCCAUUACUGACGCUGAGGCACGAAAGCGUGGGGAGCAAACAGGAUUAGAUACCCUGGUAGUGCACGCCGUAAACGAUGAAUGCCAGCCGUUAGUGGGUUUACUCACUAGUGGCGCAGCUAACGCUUUAAGCAUUCCGCCUGGGGAGUACGGUCGCAAGAUUAAAACUCAAAGGAAUUGACGGGGGCCCGCACAAGCGGUGGAGCAUGUGGUUUAAUUUGACGCAACGCGCAGAACCUUACCAGCCCUUGACAUGUCCAGGACCUGGUCGCAGAGAUGUGACCUUCUCUUUGGAGCCUGGUAGCACAGGUGCUGCAUGGCUGUCGUCAGCUCGUGUCGUGAGAUGUUGGGUUAAGUCCCGCAACGAGCGCAACCCCCGUCCUUAGUUGCUACCAUUUAGUUGAGCACUCUAAGGAGACUGCCGGUGAUAAGCCGCGAGGAAGGUGGGGAAGACGUCAAGUCCUCAUGGUCCCUUACGGGCUGGGCUACACACGUGGUCCAAUGGGGGUGACAAUGGGAUGCUAAGGGGCGACCCCUCGCAAAUCUCAAAAAGCCGUUUCACUUCGGAUUGGGCUGUGCAACUCGAGCCCAUGAAGUUGGAAUCGCUAGUAAUCGUGGAUCAGCAUGCCACGGUGAAUACGUUCCCGGGCCUUGUACACACCGCCCGUCACACCAUGGGAGUUGGUUUUACCCGAAGGUAGUGCGCUAACCCUCAAGGGAGGCAGCUAACCACGGUAGGGUCAGCGACUGGGGGAAGUCGAACAAGAGCAGCAC
rnacentral:rRNA from 1 species